AUGGUUUGGUUUUCUCUCUCAAAUAAAUUAAAAAAGGAAAAACUUCAAAUACCCUAUUUGUGGUUUCGCAAUUUCUCACUUUAGAAUCAUGUGAUUUAAAAUAUAUCAAGUCAUAUAGUACCUUGUAGUUUCGCACUUUCUUACUUUAGUACUCCGUGGUUUAAAGUGUGCCAAGUUAGUAUUCUGUGACUUUAUUUUUGUAUCAAAUUAGUAUCCUAUGAUUUCAUUUUUCUCUUUUUAUUAUUCAUUUCGGAGUGUUUUUUUCAUUAAAUCAAUGACAAAGUUAAAACUAAAGGGUACUAAAAUGAAUAUUCGAUAAACCUAGGUAGGGUAUCUGAAGUUUUUUAUAUAUAACUUAACGAAAUAUUAAACCACAUGGUACUAAAGUGAGAAAGUGCAAAACCACAGGGUACUAAUUUAAUACAGUUUAAACCACAGGGUAUUAAAGUGAGAAAUUGCAAAACCACAGAGUACUAAUUUGAUACACUUUAAACCACAGGGUGCUAAACUGAGAAACUGCGAAACCACGGGGGUGUUUGAAGUUUUCCCAUUAAACAAAGGUAAUGGUUUGGUUUGGACCACUAACAAAACAUUCCUUAAUAGAUUAAAUAAGGAGAAAACAUUAACCAAAAAAUAAUCCUCCUGCAAAGAAUCUAGAGGUUAAACAAAAGAAAAAAUUUCAAAUAUCAUUUAUGUGAUUUCACACUUUUUCACUUUAGUAUUCUAUAUUUUAAAAUGUAUCACUUUCGUAGCUUGUGAUUUUAUUUUUCUCUUUCUGUUAUCUCUCCACUAAUUUUUUUGUUAAAUCAGUGACAAAAUUAAAGCUAAAGAAUGUUAAAGUAAAUAUUGGAUAAACCAUAAGCAGGAUAUUUAAAAUUUUUUGUAUAUGAUUUAACAAAAAGUUAACAGAGAGGGUGAUGAAAAGAGAAAAAUGAAACCACAGGAUGCUAAAUUGAUACACCUUAAACCGCAGGGUACAAAAAUGAGAAAUUGUGAAACCACAUAAAUGGUAUUUGAAGGUUACCCUAAAUAAAAAGGUACAUAAAAUAACUAGUGUUAAAUAUAGAAACAUUAUUGUUUACUGGUUUAAGUUUUUGAAGAAUACUUAUUUUUUUAUAUAAUUUUACAUAUUAUCAAAGUAUGAAGUUUUAAACUCGGAUUAUGUCAGGCUCCUAUUUUUUUUAUUUUUUUUCACUUAUUUAACUCAAGUCUAAUCUAAACAUAAGAAAGAGUGUUAAAUAUAAAGAGAUAAUUGCCUAUAUACUCCUCGUGCGUCUGGAAAUAUCCGAUCUACCCCUAUUUUUUUUUUCUUUCUAAAAUGUCCCUCAUAUGUUCCACCGUUAUUUCAAAAUACCCCAGCAGUUAUCCCCUGUUGCUUAACUCAGGUUAAACAUCGGUUAAAUGUGUACUAGAGUUAAAACCUAUAUAAAAUACCUAUUUUACCCCUACCUUAUUAUGCUAAUGUCUUAAGUUAUCCUCUUUCUCUCCCAACUUGAUCGCCGGCUCCUCCGCCUCCACUUCGCCUCAUCUCCUCCCAGACCAUGGGUGAGGAUGACGCCCGCCGCCUCCCAGACCACAGGCGGGGACCUGCGGCGGCGCGGCGGAGGAGGAGGAGGGGUGCCGCGAUGACGCGGCGACGCUGCGGCUGAAGCUGGCGACGAUGGCGGCGAUCCUGGUGGCAGGGAUGGUGAGCGUGGCGAUCCCGUUGGCGGCGGAGGAGGAGGAGGGGUGUCGCGAUGACGCGGCGGCGCUGCGGCUGAAGCUGGCGGCGAUCCUGGUGGCGGGGAUGGUGAGCGUGGCGAUCCCGUUGGCGGCGGAGGAGGAGGAGGGGUGUGGCGACGACGCAGCGGCGCUGCGGCUGAAGCUGGCGGCGAUGGCGGCGAUGUUGGUGGUGGGGAUGGUGGGCGGCACCUCCUGAGCACGAAGAGCGGCUUCUUCGCCCUCGCCAAGGCCUUCGUCGGGGCGUCAUCCUCGCCACGGGCUUCGUCCACAUGCUCCACGACACCAAGGCCGCACUCACCGAUCCCUGCCUCCCCCGCUUCCCCUGGCGCCGCUUCUCCUUCUCCGGCUUCUUCGCCAUGGCCGCCGCCCUCGCCACUCUCGUCCUCGACUUCCUCGCCACCUAGUUCUACGAGCGCAGCGGAGGACGACGAGGAGCACUCCAUCAUCACGGCGGCGCCGGAGCCACUCGUGGACGAGGACGAGGACGAGGGCUCCGCCAAGGGCGGCGACGCGGUGCACAUCGUCGGGAUGCGCGGGCACGCGGCGGCGCACGGCCACAGCCAACACCAGGAGUAUAUUAGAAAGACUUAGAAACAUAAAAAGAGUCUAUUGGAAUGGGCAAAAUGGUAAUUUUUCAAAAAUAACGGUAACUCACUAACGGAAUUUAACUCCAGCGGUAUAUUAGAAAGACUUGGAAUAUAAGAAGAAUAUUUUUAACAUUAGCCUUCUAAGAGGGGUAAAUAAGAAAAUCGAAAACUUUUCAGAUGUAUAUAGGCAAUUGUCCCAAAUAUAAAAAUAUCAUUCUCUACGGGUAUAGUGGUCAGUAAUAAUUUGGUACAAGCGCCUCACGGGCCCAAUUACUGUGAAUUGGCCAAACUAUGUCAAAGUCACCCAAUCACAUCAUAUCAUUUGGAUAUAAGUAGUCCAAAAAUGCCGCACGACUGGACUUUCAUAUUGCUUAUUAAAAUAUUUUGAGCCUAGUUCAAACCCACAUAAGGUUAAAAAAUGAUAUAUUUAAUAAAAUUCAUUCCGCCUAAUAAUUUUAGUACUUAGAUCGGAUCUACUAAUAUAUAUCUAUUUUUUAUUUAUUAAUUAAUUAUAUCAUAUGAACAAUUAACAAUUUUUUUUUAUUUUUUUGAAAAUAAUUUGGCACAAGCACCUCACGGACCUAAUUAUUGUGAAUAGGCCAAACUACGUCAGAAUCACUCAAUCAUAUCAUAUCAUUUAGAUAAGUAGUCCAAAAAUGUCGGAUGAUGGGACUUUCAUAUCACUUAUUAGAAUAUUUUGAGCCCACUUCAAACGCACGUAAGGUUAAAAAAUGACAUAUUUAAUAAAAUUCAUUCAGCCUAAAUUUUUUUAGUAAUUAGAUCGGAUCUACUAAUAUAUAUCUAUUAUUUAUUUAUUAAUUAAUUAUAUAAUGUGAAAGUAGUUAUUCACAUAUGAACUCUUAAGAAUUUUUUUUAUUUUUUUUAAAAAAAAUCAUCUUUUAUUAUUAUUAAUUUUUUUUGGAAUAUCCAUAGGCAUUCUAUUUUAAGAGGCAAUGCAAAGCAGAGACCCAAUACAACGAACAUAGAAAAUUAACCGCAAAACUAUAUAGCAGAAAAAGACAAUGAUACAAAUAAAAAAAAAAACAAAAAACAAUAAAGAGGAAAAUAUUUGUGUGGGUCCCUUAACCUAAUCAACAACUUUAAUCAACAAACUAAAGUUAUUUCAAAUAUAUCCAUAUAGUUAAAUUUUGUUAGUAAAUUAUUAGCGAAAGCCGUUAUUUCUGUAAAAUUAUUAUUUUGUCCUUUUAAAUAUACUCCAAAUUAAAGACAGAAGAAGUAUUUUGAUUUUUUAAAUUUUGGUAGACAUUUAACUCAUAUUUAAUCCGAAAUAACUUAACGGAUGAUAACUGCGGGAGUAUUUUUGAAUAACGGACGAAUAUAAGAGAAGUAUAUUGAAAAUUAAAAAAAAGCAGGAAUAAAUUAGAUACUUCGGAAGUUUUGAAAGGUAUAUAAGCAAUUAUCCUUUUUAUUAAUGAACCUAGAUAUAAAACUGAGAUGACGAGGUCUCGAAAAAAGAAGAAACGAAAAAUAAACAAAAGAAGAAAAAAACUAAAGAUUAUAAAAUAGCUCAAUUGAAAUAAAAUGGAGGGAAGAAGAAGGGAACAAGAAAGCUCGGUUGCAUAGUGAAGGAAAGAUUACCCAAACAGAAAAAAAAUCAGAAAACACUUCAUAUGCUUAAUUUACUGUGAUUUACUCUCUUUUUGCAUUAGUGUUAUAUAGUUUUAAUUAGGGAUGUCAGUGGGUAUGGAUACCCAAAAUAUUAUCCGAACUCGAAUCCGAACGGGACGGGUUUACCCAAGCUAAACGGGUAUGGAUUCGGUUAUGGAUAUAGAAAAUAAAAACCCAACGGAUAUAGAUACGAGUAUGGAUUUUGUAUUUACCCGACCCGAAUGCGAACCUGAACCUGAAUAAAUUAUAUAUAUACAUAAUUUAUUUUUAAUUAUUUAUAUAAUAUAUAAAAUAUUUAAUAAUUUUUUAUCCCUUACAUUUUUAUCCAACGGUAUGGAUUUUUAAAACCCGUUGGGUUCAGAUCCGGAUCCGAGUUCGGGUUUCGGGUUUUUGGUCGGGUACGGAUAUGGGUAUGAAUUUUUAAAACCCGCCGAGUUCGGAUUUUAAUUUGGUUUUCAUGUUCGGAUUCGGGUUUUUAAAAAUCCAACCCAAACCCGACCCAUUGACAUCCCUAAUUUUAAUUAUAUCACUGAAGUAUUCUGUGAUUUCUAUUUUAUUUUUGUUAACCCCCAUUAUCUUCUCCGUUAAAGUGUCAUAAAUAUGACCAUCAAGAAUGUCCAGCAAAGUUCGAUAAAAACAACAUAAGAUCGUCUAUGAAUGAUGAAUGUUAAGCCAUAAGAGGGUCCUUAGUGGGACAUUCUUGACAAUAAAGUGCGAGCACAUGGAAUUUUAAUAAAAAUAAAAAUUACAGAAUACUUAAGUUAUACAGCUAUAAAAUAUAUAGUAAAGUGAAAAAAAUAAUAAACUACAGAAGAAAUAUUUAAAGUUUUUUCAAAAAAUUAGGAAAAAGAUUCCGCGAUAUUGCCUGAAUUUUGGCAGAUUGGACAUCAUCUUUUAGUUGUAAAUAGUGAGUUUACUCUAGUCGUGACUAUAAAAAUUAGGGUAAAUUAUACUUUUGGUCCUCAAAUUAUGAGGCGCAAAACAUUUUUGUCCUCAAAUUUGAAUUUAUGGUAAUUUUUUUUACUUAAAUUUUAGAGAUCAUUGCAAUCAAGUUCCACAAUCUAAUUUAGUUGGCUAAAUAUUAAUAAAUUUGUUAAUAUAGAAGUGAUGUAAAAAUAUUAUGAUUAAUAAUAUGACAAUAAUUAAGAUGUCGCAUUAUUUCUAUAUCAACAAUUUAUCAAUAUUUAGUUCACUAAAUUGGAUUGAACGAUUUGAUUGCAACAAUUAAAAACUCUACACACUCAACUUUAGGAUGGAUCCGUGUUUGGAUACUUAAGUUAUUAGCGUACCCAUCAGCUCUGUUUGAGCAGAUCUAGGUAAUGACUAUCUGUGAACGACCUGCUUAAAUAUCCGGUGUGAAUCUGGUGUAAAUCGAGUAUAUAUUGGGUACAUAUAUCCGUAUGCAUAUUUAUGAUAUAAAACACUAAUAUUUAUUACGUCAUAAGUUCAAAAUAAAAAUACAAAAUUUGUAAUAGUUAUACAUGUAUUAAUUUCUCUAAAAUACAUAAAGCCACCAUCUAAACACAUACAACAAUAUAAUAAAUAAAAAAAUUAUAUUAAUAAGUCCAAACACAUAUAAUACAAUUACAUAAAACACAUACAACUAAUCAGAUAAUGCACACCAUAAAUCUAAAAUACAUGCACCUACUACAAUAUAGUUAAAACACAUACAAAAUAAGACAUAUAUAUUACAGUGAAGGAAUAAAUAUCAAGUUUUUUUAAAAAAAAUUCUCAUUGCCUGUUUUGAUGGUCAAUUAUUUUACCGGAUCAAGGUUUGGCGGGUCCGGGUUUGGCUCCGAAUAUGAAUUAUUAUUUCAGCUCAGUACUCCGGGCCGUGUCGGGCUGAGUUUUUGCAGCCCGCCAGGCCCGGCAUGGCACGGCCCAGCAUUUUAAAUUGCUAGGCCUGCCGUCCUGGCCACCUGGGACUACAUGUAGGAGGAAUUCUACACUGCCACACUUGCACCACAUCAUCAAUAACAAGUCAAUCACAUUUCUUUUUUUUCAAACAAAAGUACAAUAAAAAUAUUUUUUUAUAAUCAUGAUCGGACAUAUAUUUUUAAAAGAAAAUAUUUGAUUGGCUUGUUACGCCACGUCACCAAUAUACCCGUUGCAUUCUAGAAUUUUUCUACAUGUAGGGUGCUGUUGCCUGAUGGGCUGCUGUAGCCUAAUGGCUUAAUCUUAGAUAGGGAUGCAAACGGGGCGGAUCUGGGGGUGGGAGCCACGCCCCGCCUCCCCCACCGAAUAGCAAAAUCCAGCCCUGCCUCACGCUCCGAAUCCGUGACGAGUUAAAAAAUACAUCCCAUAAUUCGUCCCGCCUCGUAAGCAGCCUCCCGCCGGCGCCCCGAAUCCGCCCCGCCAACUAAUAUUUUUUAUAAAAUUAUAAUAUUAUUAAUAUUUUAUAAAUUAUAAAUUAAUAAUUUUUAAUAAUAUUUUAUAUAAUUUAAUAAUAUCAAUUAUAAAAAUCAAAAAUAUCAAUUACAAUUCAAAACAAAAUUCAAAAGUUUUCAAAUACAUUAGAAAUGAGAGUACUAACUUAUUUAUAUUUUGAACUUUUUUUGCAAAUACAUUAUUUUUUAGGACUAUUUUUUUAAAAAUAUAAAUGAUUUUUGGGGCGGAUUCGGGGCGGAUCAUGGCGGGGCGGAUUCGGGGGCGGGUCAAAAUUUCUCCCGUUUCCUGCCCCGAAUCCGUCUCGGAUCGUAAAAUUUACCCCGUUUUCCGUCCCGAAUUCGUUUAUUUUCUCCCGUUUACUGCCCUCGUCGGGGUCGAUCGAGGCGGGAGCUCCACCAACCCGGAUCCGUUUGCAUCCCUAAUCUUGGAGGAUGGGCCCAACGGCAUUUAAGUAGUUGGGUCCCAUUUUUUUUUUUAAAAAAAAUACUUUUUUAUUUUUAUUUUUUCAAAAUAAGGGUCAAAAAUAUUAAAAAAAUAUUUUUUUAGUCAAAAUGACGACAAUGCCCUCACUAACAUUUAAAUUUUUAACGGUUUAGAGAGCGAAUUUGGUCAAAAAUUAAAAAAAAAUUAUAUUAUUUAAAAAAUUAAUUUUUUUACAUUUAUAAAUACUCCUCUAAAUCUCCAAACUCAUCACCAACAAAAAUUAUUCAUUCAUUUAUCUCUAAGCUUUAAAUUUUAUAUAAUAUUAAUUAACAAUGUUAAAAAAUAAAUUUAUUGUUAGUGUUUAAUUUUUUUAAAAUUUAUGAAUUUUUUUUAAAAUAGUUGGAUAUAAUUAUGUAAAUUAAAAACUAUAAAUCAAAAGUCUAUAAUCUAAAAACUACUUAUCUCUUUUUCUUCAAAAGAUAAUUUAAAAAAAAAAAACAAAAAGGGCAAUUAGGAAGAAAUUCCCUAUUACUAGGCCGGCACGAAGCCCGGCCCGGCCCGGUUCGUGCCGGCUGGGUCAGGGAUCCAGGCCGGGCCUUCCACUCUAAAUAAACGGGCUGGCCCGGUCCGGCAUGGGUAAUUUGGGCCGUGACCUUUUAUUUUUGGAUAAACUUCAAAUGCUAUUACUGUAGUUUCGCGCUCUUACACUUUAGUAUCUUCUGAUUUAAAAUAUGUCACUUUAGUAUCCUGUGGUUUCAUUUUUCUCUUUUCGUCAGCACCUCCGUUAACUCUCCGUUAAAUCAUAUAUAGAAAACUUCAGAUACUCCACCUAUAGUUUACUGAACAUUCACUUUAGUACUCCGUAGUUUAUCGAAACUAUAUGGUACUAAAGUAACAUAAUUUAAACCACGGGGUACUAAUGUGAGAAAGCGCGAAACCACAGGGUUGGUAUUUGAAGUUUGUCCAUUAUUUUUUUGCUUUUGUUAGAAUCAUGGAGUUUUGAGUUCCUCUAUAAUCAACAUUAAUCUUUUAAACUCCGGAUUUUUAAUAUACUUCGUAAGAAUUUGAUUGAGUCCAAGUUCCAGGUGAUGAUGUCCACAUAUUAAUGAAUUGCUAGACCAGGUCUAGGGGACAGCAUUUCCACACCAAAUUAAAGAGCACACUUUUCAAAUUUAGUGGUGCAUGAUUUGGACUUUUGAUUCAACAACACAAAACUGAUUUUUCAGGUAGCAAAAGUGCUUCAAAUAGUACUACUGCAACUGCAUGCUGUUCAGCUUCAGCAGUAACUGCACUCCCUCUUCUUCUUCUUUUUUUCUUCUUUUUUUAAAUUUUUUUUUUUCUUUCUCUUUGUCAUCUUCUCUCUGUCUACAUUCAAGAGAAUCUAAAUUGGAUAUAUGUUGUUUUCAUUAGUCCCAAUGUAUACUACUUAUCUAAAUUAUGAGCAAUUUUAGAUCUACUAAUCAAUCUUUCAGUUUGCUUGAUUUGAAUCGGUUAAUGACAUUUUGACUUUAGCGCAAGUGGCAAAGAAUUUGAUGACUGAUACUCGAGGUUCCAAAUUUAAAGCCUAGUUGCUUCAUAUUUUCAGUUAAGAUUAUUUCUAAAAAAAAAUAAACGAAACAGGUAACAUGCUACAUUUCUCUCAAAAAGAAAAAAAUAAAUGCAUCGUUUAUCUUUACGUGUAUAGGUAGUACGCUUCAUGAAUUUUUGAAACUAUAAAAUCAUUAAAAUAAAAAAUAUAUAUAUAGCUUAAAUUAUGAAGGCAAAGUGUUUUUAAUUUACUCAAAUCAAACAAAUUGCAAUGUUAGGUAGUGAAAAUAAAAAUUUUAAAAGAUUGAGUAGCAAAUUCAAAAUGGUUUAUAGUUCAGAUAAAUUAUAUAUAUUUUUACUUUUUUUAUUAUAUACAGACCAAAUUAAUUGAGUCUAAUUAAAUUUUGUUAGUAAAUAAUGAUUGGAUUUGAUAGAUAGAUUUGGGUCAAAAUGUUGUUAGAUAUGUUCUAUGUUUGGGCUUUCAUAGUGUGAAGGUUUUCAAGAGUAGUCGUAAUACCACUGUUUAUGUUCAUGAUAGAUAUCAGAUGAACUAUGUCACAUGUACGAACAAAAAAAAAGUAAUGAAACAAAAUAACUAGUAUGAAACAGGUGUGAAAAUUAAGCUCAAAACAUCUUAAUUGACCUGGAGUAGGGGUAAAUGUGGUUAGGAUAAAUUCCGAUUGAAUUGAACAUCGGAUUCGAUAGGAUGCGAAUAUGGAUAUCAAACCGAAUUAUCGAACCGAACAAACUUAAAUUAGUAGAUUCCGUUCAAAUUUUACAUAUAAUUUGGUUCGGUUCAGUUCUAAAACUAAAAAUUAGAAAAACCGAAUAAAAUCAUUAGUCUUAACCUUUAAAAAAUAAUGUAUUAGUUUUAAAUAAUAAUCAAAAAACUAGAGAUAUUAAUUAUGAUUGACUUAGAUUAAUAAUUUUUAACAUCAAUUAUGAUUAUAUAUUUUAUUUAGUAGUUUCAAAAGAAUUAAAUCGAAUAAAAAUAUUUUGUUAAAGCCAAAUAAACCGAACCAAACCCACCGAAUUAUUUUGGCUUGGUUCGUUCAGCUCAUGUACCGUUGAUUUGGAUCGGUUCGGUUUUUUUUUUGAAAAAUCUAUAAAAAUCAAACUAAAGCAAACCAAACCAAUCAAUAAUUAGCCAAGUGCAAGAUGAUUGGUAUCUGAGAUCUUAAAUUUUAAAUCUAAUUGCUUCAUAUUUUUAACUGAAUUAUUCCAAAAAAUAAAUAAAAUUGGUAGCUUUUUCUCGAUCUCUUUCUCCAAAUUUUGGAUUUGGAUAAAAAAUUAGGUAUCUAUACCCAUAGACAUCCUAGUAGAGCUACCAAAUACUCUAUAUCAUAUGAGCUUGUUAUACGUAGACAUGAUAAUUUGUACUUGUGAAUGCGUCAAAAUUUGUGCAAGACUUUGCUUUUUUCGACAAAUAAUAACUAUCACAGCUCACAAUAUAUUCCACCCAAAAAAUAUAAACAAAAAGUUAUAACUUAUAUUCCUUAAUCUUUUGUUAGGUACUUAUAAUAUAGUUUUUUAUGGGUAAAUUGCAGGGGGGUCCUCAAACUAUGAGGGUUGUGACACCUUGUUCUUUAAACUUUAAUUUAUUAUAAUUUUUUACUUAAGUUUUCAAACUUAUUACAAUCAUAUCUUAUAGCCAAUUUAGUUUACUAAAUAUUAAUGUAUUACUGUUAUGAAAGUGGUGUAGAGUGUCAUGAUUGGCGAUGCACCCGUAAUUAAGAUGAUACAGUACUUUUACAAUCAGGAAUGCGUCAAUAUUUAAUCAAUGUUUUAAAAGUUGGGUUGAGCAACGACUCCAAAAUAUUACUGAGUCAAGGAUCACUGGUUUAAUCGGUAGGUCAACCACACGCUGAACUAGUAACAUAAGCAUAACAUCAUAAAUACUUAAUUAUUAUUUCUAUUUUUGGUAUAUAUAUAUUAUUAAUUAUUAUAUUAUUUUAGUACCAUACUUAAUUAUAGAGUAUAGAUUUCUAAACCAAAUUAGGCAUAUGGAAGUUUUCAAGUUUCACAAUUUAUAAUACCAAUAUAUGUUAUAGAAAAUAAAGUCAGCCAAAUUGAUUUUAAGCGAUUAGACUUUAAUAUGACUUGAUCAAAAAAUUCAUCCAAUUUAAUUAAAACUAGACCAGAACAGUUCACUAGUUCGAUGGUUAAACUACCGGUUCAAACGAUUUAAAGCAAUUUUUUUGACUUAUUCCGUAUAAAGAGUUGAACCGACCGCUUUAUAAACUGGGUCACGAUUGGACCGGUCCAACUAACCGAUUCAGCUCAGUCCUUAAAUCAUUGCGCAUAGUUGGUGAACUAAAUAUGCAAUUUACUCUUUUUUUUUUAUUUAGACAAAUGCAUGAUGUGAAACAAAAGAAACAUUAAUUAUAGGCCUUGACACACUAUCUAACAAAGUGUCCAUUUAGUGAUUGAUUAAUUGCAACCACCACAAAAUUAUGGUGAUCGUAUAUUCAUAUCUAACAACCAUAAAUUAAACACCACCCAAGGAUUAACACGGCAGUGUUCCCCUAAUAAAUUUUAGGGAUUUAAAACAUGGUAAAGUAAAGCUGAUCGUGUUAUUUGAAAGACCGAUCCGUUAGAAAAUAACCUGAUUGGAUUAGUCAUAACAUCUCAAAGUUACCAUUUUGAAAAAAAAAAAAUUUCCUUUUGUUUUGUGAUUUUAUAUAACAAUUGAAGAAUUAAUUUUUAUUCUAAAUUGGAAAAUAACAGAGAACUUUAAUAACUUUAUUAUUCAAUUCACAAUUGCUUUAUCCCGUGUCGACANGUAAAGCUGAUCGUGUUAUUUGAAAGACCGAUCCGUUAGAAAAUAACCUGAUUGGAUUAGUCAUAACAUCUCAAAGUUACCAUUUUGAAAAAAAAAAAUUUUUUUUUUUUUUUGUUUUUUGGCUUAUAAAUUGAAGAAUUAAUUUUUAUUCUAAAUUGGAAAAUAACAGAGAACUUUAAUAACUUUAUUAUUCAAUUCACAAUUGCUUUAUCCCGUGUCGACAAUGAGUAUAACAAACAAAAAGCCCGUGCAAAGCACGUGCUAAAGGUGGUAUCUAAAAAGCCAGGAAAAGGAAAAUUCAGGAGAUUAGCAUGUUUGGGCAUUUUCCAAAAUGAGAACAAGCAACUGCUUUUUUGGAAAGCUGUGUUUGUAGCCCCCAAAGUUUAGUCAAAUUCUCUUUAAAUUUACCUCUUUAAACUUUUGAAUUGGAUAUUUGGUAUUUUUAAUACUUUAAAAGUGCUUUAUUUGCAUAAAAUGUACAUAUGCACCAGAUGCAAGUAAUAAUUUUUUUCUGCUAAAUUAAAUAUAAAUAAGAAUUAAGAUGAAAAAAAUAUAAAAUUUGGCGUGCUAAAUGGUUCAAAUCAAACAAAUUGAAGGAUUGAAUAGUAAAAUCAAAUUUUUUGAGUUUUUUUUUUUUUUACUAAGUUAUGGGGUUCAACAUUUAAUUUUUGGCUUAAAUAACGCAACGGUAUAUGAGAGUUGUUUUGAAGAAGGUAUCUAAAUCGUCAAUAAGAUUAGUCGCCGACCAUUUAUAAGAUUAGUCGCCGACCAUUUAUGCGAAUUCCUUCUAAUACAGAACCAUCAUUUACAACCAAGAGAGCACCACUAUAUAAAACCAUACAACAAACCGGAAGAGAAAUGAGAAUUUGAAGCUCUUUAAGAAUUGCAACUCACAUGCAUUCUAUUGCAGAUGACGUGCGCAUCUUGCGCAUAAAUAAGAAUGCAAAUGGGAUAGAUCUGGUGGCGUGAGGGGUUCUCCUACCUCCAACUCAGUUUUCCUAAUAGAUCGUGAAGGAUUCGGUGUGGAUUAAUUUUUAUACUAUUUUUUACUCCCACUUACUUCUCCAUUCAAAACGGAUCAAAACAGAAGUAAAUUUUUAGUGAAUAUUUGACGAAUUUGGACAGAUCAAGGAAAAAAAAAAUGAAGCCUACUGGGAGAGAUGGAUUGGGAUUGAAGCUCCGCCAACCCGAAUCCAUUUACAUCAAUGCAUUGUUUUUCUCGGAGCGGCAUGAUACAGCAUGUGAGUUCUCCCGCGAAGGCGGCUCAACCAUGUAAAAAGACCGAAUUAGCCUCAUGAGAUUGAUUCUCGGAGGGAAUCAGUAGGGGUGUGUGUUGCUAAGGAAAAAAGUCUAAAACACAUUAGUUAUAUUGCUGAUGUGAGAUUUUCAACCAAUCAGAUCUAUUCAUAAUUAUUAAAAAAAUAUUUUUAUUUUAUAUUAUUUAAAAAAGAAAAGAUAUAAUUAGUUGAGAAUAGAUAAUAUGGUGUAAGUGUUACGGUGCAGAUUUUCUGGUUGAUGAGACAGUGGCUGUUUAGGUCAACGGCUGCUGGCCAAUGUGGUGUGGUGGGUUCCGUUGAUUGCGAGCUCUCUUUUACGCCACGGAAAAUGACUUCCAACUGUAACCGAAGGCAACAGGUUCCCAAAUCCCAAUGCCCCACAUUGCCCCUCACUUGAGAGUGCAUUUAUUUACUUACUAAUAAGAGAUUAAGGGUGCGUUUUGCUUCAACCUAAGUAAUUAAAAAUACAGUAUAGUUAAAAAUAUAUUUAGAUAAAAUUAUAAAAAUUGCAACUAUAUAUAUUGAUUAUACUUAGUAAAUAAUACUGUAAAUAUAAAUAAUAUGUUCGGGUACAUGCAGUUGAGGAGUAUUCUUUUAGAAUGAUAAAAUUAUCUCCAAAUAAAAUAAAAAAGUUUGAACCGAAACAAUACAAAUUUGGAUGUAGAAGUGCAUGGAAUAUAAUCUCAUAUUCAUAAAAAGUUUAUGUAUAAUUUGAUUUCGACGAUCAGAGCAAAAUAUGAGAGUAUUCAAAUUUUAAAGUAAAAUUUAUCAAAAAAAUUAUUAUUUGUAAAUAAUACAAAAAAUUGCCAAACCGUUUUAGAAAAUUAUUUCAGAAAAAUAUCUUUCCUAUUAAAUUCAGGCAAAUAUUUUAUUACUUUUAAUCAAAAAUAAAUUUACAAACUCGUACUCCCGCGUUGUUAUGCCACGUGGCACACCAGGUGCACCAAAUAAGCGCUGUUUCCUGUUCGGGUCCACACAGCAGAUCCAGAACAUCACGAAUCGACUAGUGGCAUAACUCGUAAAUAAACGCCAUUUUCCGCCCAUUUACAUUUCUCCCUACAUAAGUACUCCAAGUUCAAUCCCACAUUCUCCAACGGAUACCUCCAUCUCUCUCUCUCUCUCUCUCUCAAUCUCUCGAUCUCUCGACGCUCCAAAACCUCGCCUUUAACUCUCGAAACCAACACCGAAUCCGCGGCACCGAAACCCUGCCUCCGUAGAUCUCCAUCGCGUCGAUCGAUACCAUCAUUACCCCCACAAUCCCCCUUCUCUUUCGAGGAUUCGGCGCUCAGAUUCGGUCACCAUAUCGUGUACGUUGUUGCCGCGAUUUCACGGGGUUCUUUUUGAUCGAUUUUUGGGGAGCUAGGGUUUUCGGAGGAGUAGGUGAGUGUGCUUGUCGACGUUUCUGGUGCUAAAUAGACGUUUUUUGAAUUAAAUUUGGUUAAAUGUUUCCCUUUUUUCUCGGGUGUUGGAUUGAUUUCUCUUUCAUGAGGUUUAAUUUCGGGUAUUGGAGAUUAUGUUCUGCUAAGGCUAUAUUUUCUUAAGCAGAUGUUUUUUUUUUUCCCUUGUUGAUUCGUUUCAAGAGCAAGUUGAGUCAAAUUCUUGAAUUUGAUUAAAAAUAGAUAUAGAGAUCGUGUCAAAAUUUUAAUUUUGUUAAAAAUAAGUUGCGCGAUCGUGUUAAAUUUUCGAUUUUGUUAAAGCUAGGGUUACAGGAAUGUGCUAAACUUUUGAAUCUAACCAAAAAUAGGUUUAACGGAUCGCGCUAAAUGUUCGAAAUAGGUUUGCAGGCGCUAGAAUUUGAAUUUUGGUUUUUUUUUUCACUGCAGUGUAAAGUUGAAACCUUUGGCAAAUGCUUGGAAGGAGAGUGUUGUUGUUAUGGCCGGGGGUAGAGUGCAGGUGAUCAGCAGCAGGGGUUGCUCACGGCUCUUUGUAGGUGCUUCUGUUCCUUCUCUUUGCAGUUUGAGCUCCACCGACAUGAUGUCGUCGGCUUCUUCGUCGGUGCCCCUCUUGGAAUCUACUGGGCCUUUUUCGGGUCUUGUGAUAUGCGUCACGGGGCUAUCGAAAGGUAAUUGCAAAUUAUUUCUCCUCUUCAUGUUUUCCUGUAUGUUUCAAUCUAAGGGCGUGUUUGGCUCGCCUCUUUUUCACCCUGGAAUCAUAAUCGGAAUAGAUGAAUCCGUUUGUCCGUGUUUGGUAUGCGGGAUUUUCAUUCUGAUUCCGAUUCCCAGGUGAAUGGGAAUCUCUCUAAUUACCCCUUUUUUCAAUCCAGCCUAGGAGGCCGGAUUGGAAAUUGAAUCCAGGCGGAAUGGAUUUAUUCGGAUUAAAUUAACUUUUUUAAGCUUAUUUUUUAAUUAAAAUAAAAAAAAUAAUUAAAAAAGAGUUCUAACACCUGUGGAGAGCUUUGGCUGUAAAAGAGUUCUAACAGUAGCUUUUACUUGUUUAAUGCUGUGGCUGAAAUGAUGAAAGUAUGCAAACUUCGAUCUUUGACUUCUAGUCCAGCCAAAUCCAUAUUUUUGCUAGGUUCUUCGUUGAUUGCAUUGAAACACUGUCUUUGGACUUUCUAUUCCAUGCAGAUUUAGGGUUUAGAAGCCAAAUAAAAUAAGAAAUUGUUUAGCUGACUCGUGGCUAAAGUUUAUAAAGCUGCACAUUGCAUAUUGUCGGGAAGAAACUGCAUAAAUCAUGUGCCUUAUUUAUGACAAAUUGUUGAUUCACUGUAGCAUUGUGGAUUGGAAUUUGAAAAUACUGACACUACUGAAGCUUUUUAAGAGUGAAACCCUGAUUUUUAUGCUAGAGUCUUAAGUGCUGUAAUCUUGACCUGUGACAUAUUUUGUCUAUGAGAUGACUCUUACAUGUGCUAAUUGUAAUACCUUUUGGACGACAGAAGCAAGAGAUCAAGUCAAGACUGCGACAGAGAAAUUAGGUGGCCAGUAUAGUGCAAGCCUACAUCCUAAGUGUACUCAUCUUGUUGUACAGAUAUCCUAUUCAAUAACAUAAUGUCGAAAGGUUUCUGAUUUUGCUGAUAUUUCUUGCUCUACAUGUCAUGCUGGCAUUUUUCUUUAUCAAUUAAUGUUAUAGCAAGAGUUUUGUGCGUCUGUUGGGGCCUUAACACUUAUACAGCUUUGGUGGACGCAAGUUGGAACAUGCGCUUAAGCAUGGAGCAAGGAACGGUCUUCUAGUCAUUACGCUGGCUUGGCUUGUUGAUAGUGUGAGGAGAAAUGGUGAGUGCUAGAUUUGCCUCUGCUACACUAUUUGCAGUCAUAGAGUUGGAAAAUAACCUACGACCACCUUGAGUUGCUUUCUCUAUGACUCGUAAUUUUACCUUCUUGAUUGGUGAAAUAAGUUAUCGGAUCUUGACUUCUACCAUUCGCUAGUAUUUAUUGUGUUUCUUGUUGAUUCGAUUUUGCAGUGAGGCUGAAUGAAUCUUUAUACAGUGUAAAAAAUAUUGGAGAGAAUGGCUUUCCUUUAGGGGAGUUCAAUCGUCUUGUUGGCCUUCCCGGCAGUGAGAAGUCCUGUCUUCCAGUAAUGGCCUUUGAAGAUCAUAAAUUUUCAAACACAGCUAGGCAACACCAACUAGAAUCCACUAGAAAGGAACUAAAAACUGCCGGUUCAGUUUUCUCCAAUGACUCUAUUUAUAUUGAUUCAGAUAUUUCAGGUGAACUGAAGGAAAAGGUAUGCUCUUGUAACGAGUGUUGUGGGACAUAAACAGUUUACUGGGUUUUAUUUAUAUUGCCAUUAUUAGUGUAUGCCUCGACUGGUUUAUUUCUCAUAUGAUUCAGCAAUCGGUUUGUUUCAUAUAAAUAUCAUAUUCUGCAGCUUGUUGAUGCAGCUUCCAGAGAAGGUGCUAAAAUGUUGGAGCACUGGUUUAUUGGUUGUCAGGCAAAUUAUGUUGUGUGUGAAGGUCCUUCAAUCCAAAAAUAUAUUGGCCACUCCAACAAUGUUGUUACUGUAAGCAAUUCUGCAUGGCAUCUCCAAAUACUGUAGAUGGUUUUUCUUUUCUCAUGUUUCUCUAAUACUUUUGUUGUAUGCGGCAGCCGCUGUGGAUCCUAAAAACAGUUAAGGAGAAGUCUUUGCAGCGGCUUGUGCAUUUCUCAUCGGACCUAGCUAGGCAGGUUGCCAUGAUUCUUGAAAAUGUUUCGGUUUCCAGAGAGGUAUCUAGUUGUUUCCUUAAUUAGUAAUUAUGCUUGUUUGCAAUAAGCAACAUGCUUCUUCUUCCAAGGUGGAACUUGUAUUAUUUUUUUUGGAGUCUUUUGUUUUGUGCUAUCAGUAUGCUUGAUAUCCUGUGUGGAUGUCAGCCUCGUUAAGUGAUUCUGGAUUAUUAUUAUCAUACUAAUACCCAAUUUAAGAAUGUUCACUCUUUUUUGCAUAAUGAUGAAAAGGCGAUAACCUAUAUUGUUGCGAUUAGAGAUAUGCUGUCGAAAGCUUAUCCGAACUGUCAUGGUGCAAUUGUUGUUUGACAAUUUGAUCUUAAAGGAUUGUCGAAGAUUGUUAUUUAAUAACUGAACAAAAGGUGCAUCAUAGCAUAUGUACUCAACAAGUCUAUUCAAUUUUGAUUCGAUUCCAUUGCACAAGGACAAAUUCUUUUGCAUUUUUAUCCAUGGUGGUGGUUGUUGUUGUCAUCUUAAUAGUUCACUGCUGAAGGGUAAGUUUCUCAUUUUCUGGAAGAUAUUACAUAUAGAUUGGAAAUCUGUCAAGAGUAUGAACAUUUUUUUUUUUUUUCUAAUGUCCUUUUUUCCCUUUUUUUUUAACUAUUUUAUCUUACAACCCAGAAGCAUAUUAUGUAGCUUUUCAUAUUUUAAAUGUUUUGUGGAGAAACUUGCAAGUUAUUCUAAACUUUUCCUGGAGAGUCAAAGCUGUUCUCGGAAGAUCUUCUCAAGGAACAGCUUAACAUGUACAAAAUCCUUUAAAGAACACUUCCGAUAUUCAUCAUAUAAUUUAAUCAGUCCCGAACUUAAUAUGAAUGGGAGGAUAAUAAUUUAAACUUUUCGCCUGUUAGUUAUUUCAUUAACUAAGUUGGCGAAUAAUGUUCUGGAAACUGUCGGCAGAUGUUCACAGUAUAAUGAAAUAAUGUAGUUCGGUUUUCCAAAUUGACUCUUGAUGCUGUCGUAUUAUUUUACCAAAGAUUUUCUUUCUCGUGUCAGAUAGCAGCAUCAUGUCAUGAAUGCCAGAGACAUCAUUUUUUGGGUUGCUGAAAAGUGAUUUGCCAUUGCCCUGCAGGAUAGUUGGGCACUUCUCUGAUCCUUUAUGUGACAUUUGCUUUUCUUAUCUUCGUCACUAAUUUCAGGAAACAAACGGUGGAAGUGUGUGUCCUGUUGCAUCAAAUUCUAAAAAAUCGCUGCCGACAUGUAAGGGCAUUAAAGAAAGCCUUGAAGAGAGGCAGAAAAUAACUGACUUAGCAAAAUUGGGUGUCCGAAAUCGCCGUUGUCACCGCAUGCAAGUAAGUGUUAGUUGACAUUUAUUUUCUCCUGCGCUUGUUCAAUACUUCAGUUUACUUGCAUUUCAUGUGGCUUUCACUUUCACGAUUUCAUAUGCCAUUCCAUAUUUUUCAGCCUUUUUCUCAAAUGUUAUUUGUUCAUACCGUUUGUUUUAUGAAACCUAUAUGAAAAAACAGUUUGAUUGUGACAUAAUUUAUUUUUGUUGGGUAACAGACAUGCCAAAUUCCGAUCCAUCCGAUUACUCCAUCCAGCCUUUUGGAUACAAUCUGCUGGUCAAUUUCUGAGCCAACCUCAUCAGCAUGUGUUUAUACUGACUCUUCUUGGUCAGAAGAUGUUAACGAGCAGCAAACCAUCUCUUCUUUUGAUGUGAGAGGAGAUGCAACGGAUGCAGAAUUAUCAUCUGAAAACUUCUCUCGCCCACUUAAAGAAAGGUAGUUCACCGUCUCAAUAAAAUCCACCUUUCGCUUUAAGAGCUGUCAAAUUGAAGACCCGCCACCGGUAACAAGUUUUUUGAUAGAAAAUUUGCUAGAAGCAUUCCACUGCAGUAGAAGUAGAAGUUUCAAAUUAGAGCUCAUGUUUUUGCAGCUCAAAAGCUCAUUUUAACAUCCUGCUGUAGCAGAAGCUUUAAAAUUUUCACUGUCAAAUACUUGGCAAUUGCUUUUUGAAGCUGAGAAGAUGCUCUACAAGCUAGGCUAAAUGAUCAAAUGUUUCACCAGAUCUGAAACUGCCGUUUGUAAGCGUUCGCGUUUGCUUUUGUGGUUACAGUGAGAAGAGGGAAGUGAUCUUCAAAAACCACUUCCUUACUAUACUCUUUCCAGUCGACCGUUUCAGUGAAUUGGGGCCUUUAUCGAGGACAUUCUUUAGCAAUGGUGGUUUUACACGCAUGCAAGUACUGGAUUAUAUUUACAGCUUUUAUCAGGUAUAGGACACGGAAUUUCUUCUUCUUCUUCUUCUUCUUCUUCUGGCUAUAGUUAUCAUGAUUUUGACAUUAAUAUCGAAACUUUUUGCUUUUUUGAGUUUCGUAAUAGACACCGUUAACUAUCCUGUUAAAUUCAGGUUCUUAUUGAGGAUUUUACAAUUUUUUAGCUACAAAUUAAUUUUGGCAAGUUAGCCAAUUUUUGUUUUCAAUGCCCACAAAUAAUGUCAGGAUUCUCAUUAAUUUUUAUUCACUUUUCCAUUGAGAAAAUAAAAAAGAAACUGUUUCACUUGUUACAUGGUUUACUUUUCACCUUUCGAUUUCUAAUUUAUUUAUCACAUGAAUUUCCUUGCUGUUCCCUUACUGUUACGUGAUUUAUCUAACUUCGAACUGAAUUUAAAGUGCCAAUACAUGAGGAUCUUUAUAUCAUCCUUUCCAGGAGAACAUGUUGGAAAAUGAAAUAGAAGUAGCAAUUCACACAGAUUCAAGACAUGCCGAUCGCCUCCGGUCUCUGUAUGCUAGCGAAGAAUCGGUAGAGCGCGGUUACAUCUCGUUCAAGAGAAUCGAUUUCAUGGGGAGCCGAAGGAGCUUCGAGGUGUUGAAGCGGUUGAGUGGCGAGACCAACUGCAAUGUUUACGAGCUUUUGAUCAGAGCGUAGGUCGUUUUACUGUUUGAUCCAGGUUUGGUUUUUUUUUUCUUUUUUCUCUUUUUUCUCUCUCUCCGCCUCUGAUGCUAAAUGUGGGUGUGGGUUUACGAAAAAUAAAAUAUAGAGCUUGCAAUUUUGUUUCUUGUGUAUAACAAGUGUGAUGUGAAUACCAAUUAGCCAAGAGAAUAAUGAGAUUAAUGGUGCUUAUAUACUAACACUGAUGAACUUUGUGAGGCUUGCAUUGGCCGAAUGAACGCUUCCGAAGGAAAUUAAUGCUGUAUAAACUUGGGACUAAUUUGGGAUUGCGUGUCUAAACGCAACCGCUUUUAUGUUUCGAAUCAGAUCCAAAAAUUCGAAAGCCUAGCCUAGCCUCUUGCUUGCCGAUAUUACAAAGCAGUGGCAGUAAGAAUGGGAAUCUGACAAGCAGGUGGUUGCUUGGUUCUCUGAUCGCAGUUCCUGCCACUGUUUUUUUUGUAGUAUCAGAAGAGGGGUGGACAGAUUGAAAGUGCAUUAAGAUGUUUUAUUAGGGUUUCUAAAAUAUGAAAGCGGGUGCUUAUAGCCCUUGCAAUUCCAAACUAGGCCUCAGAAACGGGUCGAGAAUGUACACACUGCACUGAUCUUUUCCUAGCACGAGUAAAGAAACAGCUUUAUGAUUAAUAACCGAGAUUCCAAAUUUGGAGUCUCUAAAAAUACUUUAUAUUUCUAACUAAGUUUAUUUCUAAAAUAAAUCAACAAAACAAAUAACAAAGCUCUUUACCUAUAGCCUCUCUCUCUCUCUUGCAUUUUACAUAUUUUUCACCUACAGUGAACCCCAAUUACUAAGUAGUUUAUAACAGUAAACAGCCCCACAACGGAUGAUGAUGACUGAUGACAGAUGACAGAAGAAUAAUGGAGUUAAAUUGGUUCAAGCAUUUUAUAGAGGAAGCCAAGUCGUCAAAGUGAACACAAUUUAAGAUCAAUGAGAAAACUAUGACUUCAAAGUUCAAGAUAAUAUGGAACCAAAAAUUAAGGAGAUGCUGGUGGUUUCUUUCACGAGAGUCCACUACAGGUUCAAAAUUUUAGAGAGGGGCAGGCACAAUUGAUAGGCCAUAUCAGCCUGUAUCGUAAGGAAGAAAAAUGAGAUUGGAAUAAAUAAUAAUAAUAAUAAUAAAAGUGAAGAGAGUCUACAAAAUGUUAAUGAAAUGUCAGUGAAGAUAAAACUACAAAACUCUACAGUGUUAGAGAUAUAUAUGUACCCCUCUCUCUCUUCCAUAUUAAUUUACAAGGCUUCCUGUGCUUCAUACCUUUUCCUUUCCUUUCGACCCUCUUGUUUCUUUUCUAUUUUUCUUUUUUGUUUCUUCUUUUUUCACGCGUGAACCCUAAAAGGGGGUUUAAUAUAUGACAACCCGGAGAAGACCGGGUUGAGGCUGGGUGAAGUGAAGGCCCUCUUCUAGAAGGAACUGCUCGACGGCAAUCGGCAACCUGGCAGGGGUCCGCGCACCCUUUGUGUGGUGGCCGGUCCCAACACAAAUCAUAACCUGAAGCCGGUGACCAGAUGACCUAGCUGUGCUCUUCAGAAUACUCAGUUCGUGCUUUAGAAUGUGCAAUGCUUCGCUUACGUGGAGGCCGUGCAAGUCGAUCAGGCGAUCUUGCCCUUGGCCGUAUCCUUGGAGUUGGGAACCAACAGGGUUUCUGCAAGAAAGAAAGAAAGAAAGAAGAGAACAUUAAAAGGGUUAUAUUGCAUCCGGGGUGCCCAAUCCUCUGAGGUGGUUUCAAUUUUUGUCCUCUUUUUUGCUUCCAUUGUUGCAAAUCGGUUCCGAUCUUUUCAUUUUGUGGCAGUCUUACCUUUCCGGUCAAAUUCCUCCACCGAAUUGGGCACAAAUUUCACCGCAAUGUCAUGUAACAGCCACAUAAGCAACUCUUGGAUUUCUCAAUGGACAAUACAGUCUAGUUCAACUAAGGAAUUUAAUGACAAGGGUACGAUUGCAACAAAAUGCAAAUGUCUAUGGAUCCAAUUGCAAGAAUUGAAAGGUUAGGACCAAACUGAAGCUAUUCUGAAAGAUCGAGGACCCCUGGUGCAAUUUAACCAAUUAAGAACGAAUGAUGGCCCAUCCAUCUGGGCCAACCUGAAGUAAAAUUUUAAGAGGUUGUCAAUUAUUAAUUUCCACAACAACUGCAUCAAUUGGACUCCAAAAGAGUGCACAUUUAGAUUGGCAGCUACAGUAUACAUACUCCCAUUACCAUGAAGAAGAUAUACUUCAGUGCUGGAAAUAUAAUUACCAGAAAAUAACUGUGCCAGUAGAAUUUAAGACCCCAUUACGCUUCGGCCUUGUUUGGUACUUCUGCCACAUUUUUUUUUUGUUUUUUAGAACCCAUAUUUGUGUAGGCGAAUAGCUAAUACAUCUACAGGAUUUGUUUGGCAACAAAAACCAAAAACCUAGUGGAAACUUUUUUGGCUUAGUUAUUUUUCUGAAGAUGCCAAUCAGCAUCUGAGUAAGGUGCAUCACAAGCUAAUAAAUGACCAGAACAGAGAAGUUCAUCUGUUGGUUCAUUCAGAUGCAAAAAUUUUAGUACACUAGAAGGGCAAAAAUAUCAAACAAGGCCUUAACUAAUGGACUAUGUAUUAUCAGUUAAGAAAAAAGAACAACGGGUAACCUCUGACGAUAAAUCGAUUCCUGGGCUUUCUCGUGUGCUGCUUUCAUGUGCAUGUUGUACAACCGCCCUUUUACGCUCAGUUCCUUUGCCAGUGCCUUGUUCCCAAUCAGAUAGGCCUGUCUUGCCUGUCAAUAAUCAGUUAAAAAUUGAGAUUUAGUAAAUGUUAACAAGACCAAGUGAAAAGACAAAAAUAAUUAGCUAAAAGAAAAAAGAAAAAACUGUCCUGUCUAAACUCCAAAGAGUAAUCAAAACUGGAAAUCUCAUAAUGAGAAAUGCAAGUUUUUUUAGAAGAGAUUUAAAAUCUUCAUUUGGUUUCCCAUAGGAAAGCAACAAAGGGACUCGACUGUUACAUUCACUAAAAUUUAGGGUUUGAAAGUAGCUCAUAAAGGAGAACAAGUCUACGAAAAAUUAUACAAAAACGUAGCUCACUAACUUGCAAACAUGAACAAAGAAAAGUACCACUGAAUCAAAGGAGGGCAGUGCCAGCAAUUAACACAGAUGGUGUAUGCAUAGCAACCCAUCAGGAACUACUUAUCCCUUGUCCAUUAUUGUAAACCCUCAAAAAACAACCAAAUGCUUCUAAGCCAGAGAGUGUAGAAACAAGUACGGCAUAUUAAUUGACGCAAGAAGAUGUAUGGCCAUUGAAAACCUCAGGGUGUGAGCUUCAUAAUCAUAAUCCUUAAAUUGGCAAACUAUAACAUUGCAACAUAUUAUCGAGCAAGAAAUGCAUGAAAUCCAAGAUACAAGGAUUACAAAAAACAUGAUCAAUCAGUACUUGCUUACUUGUUCAAAGAAUGCAUUUCGAAGACAAGCAAAAUCUCGAGCUUCUUCCCUUGACUCGGAAUACAGAUUUGCUGUCAAAUACAAAAACUAACAUCAUUUUUCACGAGAAAACAAAUCAAUUAACACAUUAAAAAAAAGCAAACCAGAGAUUCUCAAAAGACAGCCCAAGAUUAUUACCAACUGCAUCACCAGUCUCAAGCCAAGGUGGAGUUGCUCGUGUAGUACCAAUACUUUGCAACUUAUUACCAAAACCUAACUUGCUAUUAACAUCAUAUUGUUUGGUUAAAACUCGUGAACCUCUACUUGAACCAACAUUUUCAUCAUCAGCACCUUUCUUCUCCAAUUUCCAGCUACCAGAAUUCUGGGAAGCAAGUUUACGAACAGUUGAAACAAAAUCUAUGUUACUGCCAAAUAUAGAGGAAGAUCUAUAUCCGCUUGUAGCUCCUUGGGAAUCUUCUAGACUGUACUUGGACAACCCAUUUUGAUCCUCUGCCGUGGGAAGUGCAGGGAAGUCCAGCAUGCUAAAGCUAGGAGCAGUUGAGGCCUUUGAGUUUGCGCUCUGAUUUAAACUACCAUCAACUUGCAUCUGGAAAGACAAAUAAAAAAACAUGUAACAGAAAAAAAAAAGUAACAAGAACAAGAGCUGCACUAGCGCAUUGCAUUGCAAGAAUAGUUUAAAAAAGUCAGAGGACUUCUGAAGCCUAGGUGGAAGGUGCAAGGUACGUGACUGAGAAAGAUGACAUGCACAUUUUCACAAAUUUUCACAAUCAUAAACAUACAUUAAAGGACCUAUACAGACAAAUCACAAGAUUUAGAAAAUUAGCAUAGUUUAAAAACAGAAUUAUCGCAGAAAACAAAUUAAAACUAUUUUAUUAUAGUUAAUGAAUUCUCCAGUGCUAUAAUUGAUGUGUCGAUAACGCUAAGAACCACAAAAUAUCUAGAACCCACCAACUAGCGGUGUAUUUAUCAUCAAAACCUGCAUCUAGAGUGCCUAGACACUUUUAACCAAACAUCCAAAACUCGCAUUGAAACUCAUAACUUGCAUAGCAGAGGAAUUGAAGACUUGUACCAAUACUGAGUGGUGCGACUAGGCCUCAAUGCACCAUGCUUGGUGCCUUGAGCCUAGGCACCCAGGCAUGUGUUUAAGGCGCACCUUUUCAAACUGAGGUAGCAAGUAUGAUUAAUGGAAUGUACAAGGUAGACACCAAAUCAAUUCAAUCUAUAUUACGAACAGCACAUGCUAUUAUGUAUUGAGGCUUAAGCCAUUAUACGUAGGCCUUAGGACAGCGGCAGAGUCAAGAAAAUCCAUCAAAUCACUGAAAAAGCAAAGAUAAAGACUAAGCACCAUGAACUACCUUCGCUUCUGUGUGCCUAUAACAGGCUUCGAAACAAUUAUUGACAUAGCAAACAUGUAUUUCUAAAUAUCCAUUAGGCAUAACAUUAGCACUCUUGUUAGACUACCAAGUGUAUUAUUUGCACAUCGCACAUAUAUAAUGAAUGAAACUGCAGCUAAAUUCAACUCCUAUGAUUCCCUGUUGAGAAUCUUGAAUGAAUGUAUGUGUGAAUCUAUUAUCAUCUUUAUUGAAUAUAGUUAUAGCAAAUUAACAACGAAACGCAAUAAUUAGGCAACCUACAAGAAUUUGUAACACACAAUCCAUACUUGGGAAUCAGGAUGCAAUAAUAUGCCUAAACUUCCUCAGCGACAGUGAAACUUCCCGAAGUUUAGAUGUUAGUAGUGAUAGUAUUGAUAAUUAUAGCAACUUGCUAUCUAAUAGCAUUAUUCAGUAAAUGUUACUGCCUCACUUACCCAAUCUUCAUCAGUUACUAGAAUGUACCUAUUAACACAGAAAAUUACCUCAAGUUGGGUGAGCAUUUCAAUGGUCAUAUUCAAAUCACAGCCAUUUGCGUUAUAGACAUCUGCAAGGCUCUCAGCAGAAAAACCAGGGAAAUGAGACACCAAGUAUUCCAAAGGGUCAACAACAGCAUCCUCUACAACAGCAUUCUCUGUGGCAGAGCUAUCCAAAAAGCCACCAUUGUAGUCUCCAUUAUAAUGGUAUUCAUCCUUUCCAUUCUUAAAAUGAAAAUCAACACUAGCUAACUGUUGGUCCCAGUUGCUUGUGGCCAAUGGCAAGAAAGCAGCUGUCGGAUGGUUUUCACAAUAACUCGAACCAGGAAACCCUUUUUUUUGACUCGUGAUCAGACCAUCACUACGACGAGGAGAUAUGAGCUGGUGGCUACUAGAAAACUGGCUGAAUCCUGAUGGAGAAAACUCAGAAGCUUCAAAAUCAUCAUUCAACGACAAACCAGAAAGUGAUAGUUGUCUUGAUGCCUGCUCAUCCUGUUCUAUUACCUUAAAAUCAGGAGUAAUAUCAUCAGGAAGUUGGCAAUCCCAAAGCUGGUUUGCCUCAUCAUCUAAAUUAUUAGAUAUUGAGCAUUCUGAUCGAUCUGGGACUGCUUUUCCAGAAAGCCCAUAAAAAUCUGGCUUUUUUACAUCCGCAAAGCUAUUGUUUCCAAAUUUAGAUCGAAGAGCUGAAGGAACAAAUUCUGCUGCGUUUGGAUUCAAUGUUGUGCCCUUGUUAGGUGACUUCAACUGCAAGUUGUUGUUGUUGCUUGGGAUACCUUUGGCGGGUAAACUCAUCUUUAUUCUAAGUUCGAAUAUAACAUGUUACAUAAAUAUCAUUCUAGAUAAGAGAAAAGUUUGCAGAGGCUUUUAUCCCAAUCCUGCAAAUUGUAGAAGAUGGAAACAGGAGGUGGUAAGACUCAAGAGGCAGAGCUCAUAAAAUGUGACAUAAAUUUUACUUGUUUAGUUGCAAUACGACACUACUCAGUAUUCCCUAGACUAUAGCUAAAUUGCUCUUACAGUCUUACUAAAGAUUGACUAUUAAGAAAAUUAUCCAUGCCAACUAAAUCAGUAACAAUUAUGUUUCCUGAUAUAUCACAUUAUCAGCAUAUGUAUACAAAGAAAGAAGAUACCUCGUUUUUCCUGAUGGUAUACAUCUUAAUUUCGGAAAAAAAAAACAAAACACGAGCAAAUUUUAAGCGCUUGAGUCUCCUCCAAAGUAAAUAUUGACCUCCAUAAACAUAUGGACUGAUUAAAAGUAACAGAUCCAAGGUCCAAGGCUAUAAGUCAAUACCAUAUCAAACAAAGAACUAAAAUUACUUGUCAAAUCUCUUAUUUGAUCUAAGAAAACAAACAAAAAUCACACAUCACAAACCAAUCUACCUGUUGAUUUGCUUCUUCACAGUCAUGAGACUAUGGAAUUGGUCCAAAUCAUAUUUCUACUGCGUUCUACCCUGUAGCACAGUAUUUACAGGAGAUUAACAAUCUAAUGACACUUCUUUUUUUGUCUCCCUGCAAUUGAGAGUAAGAAGUUCCACAAUCUUUAAUAAUUACGAUGAUCAUGCCUCUUACCAUAUUAAUCAAUAAUGAACUUACCAACUCAAAUAAAGCAAAAAAAGACUCCAUACUUUAAACAGCGACACAACUACAAAUCCAACCAAAAUUGAGAUCCACAAACACGUUCCAAUUUAGCUCACGAACUCUAAACGGACCAAAGCCCGGACGAUUCCAACCUCCACAAAAACAAUUAUCAAUCCGAAAAAAGGAAAAAAAAAAAAAAAAAGAAGAAAAGAACUCUAUCCUAUUAAAGGAACAACUAUGAAUCUCACCAUAUAAAACCUAGAUGACACAAAAUCACACGAAUCACCCAUAAAACAAUAAACCAAGAUUCAGAUCUAAGAUUAGCGGGGUGCGGAGAGAGAUCAACAAACCCUUUUGUCGAUCGAUUCGAGAACAUGUGGUAUCAAAUCAAUCCAUAGGGUAAAAGGGCGAAGACGAGGGCGAAGAGGAACCAAGUUGAGAGAGAGAGUGUGUGCGCUUCUUCCGCUAGGGCUGAGAGAGAGAGCUCCGAAACCCUAAUUUUUUUUCGGCUUCACGACCGCAAAAUAGGAAAAAAGAAAAAAAAAACCCAAUAAAAAGAAAACGCUUACAAAAAGAGAAUAUAUAUACAUAUAUAAAGAAUAAUAAAAAAAAAAAAAAAACAACAACUCCUUUUUGCCCCCUCUCAAUCACAACAACAAUCGCAAACGCGUCUCGCACAAACGUUGACUUGUUGACCCAAUCGGAUAUCGAGUUUUAGGAGAAUUUAUUGCCUCCACCCGGUGUAUCCCUGCGCCUCAUGCACCGCAGCUUUUCUCAUUUUGGGGGAUACUUUGUCCCUUAAAUUUUAUGAUGAUAUUAUAUUUUUUUUUAGCUUUAACUUAUAUAUAUAUAUAUUACUGCAAUCGAAUCGAGUUUCAUGCAUAAGUAAAUGAUCUUGUAGUGUUGUGAUAACUUGAUAGAUUACAUACUUAAAAUACUAUAUUACUGUCAUAUUAGUGACAUAUCAGUAUUUAAUCAGCUAAUUGAAUAGUAAGAUUAAGUUAGAAUGAUUUAAAAAGUUCGAGCAAACAAGUAUAAUAAUUUAAAGUUUGUGAACUAAAAUAUCAUUCUAACUUAAUCUUACUAUUCAAUUAGCUGAUUAAAUACUGAUAUGUCACUAAUAUGACAGUAAUAUAGUAAGCAAACAAGUAUAAUAAUUUAAAGUUUGUGAACUAAAAUAUCAUUCUUCGGUAGUUAUAAGACGGCAAAGUAAUUUAGUUUUUCUGAUAAUCAAUAGCUUAAAAUAAAAAUCCAAUCCAUUAUCCAAUUUAAUAUAUACAUCUUAUACCAUAUAAAUUUGUACAUAAUAUAUCAUAAAAAUUUAGAGACCUUAGUACUCUUAAUAAUGAACGAUCGAUAGAAUUACUGUUCGAUUUGUUAAAAAUAUUUUUUAUAUAUAAAAAUAUUUUGUAAAUGCUUUAGAUGCGAGAACACAUUUUUUGAAUUAGAUAUCAUAAAUAUUUGGGAUUUGAUGUAUGUGAAGAACUUAUACAUCCGGUGCACGUAAUAAUUAACAAAGUUUUCGAGGCAUUAAGUAGCGUGAAAUGCCCUUUUACUUUAAUCAAAUUACCUCUGUGUCCUUUUCAUGAAUAUGGGAUAUUCGCCGCAGCAAGAAUCGUCCCAUGGAAGAUUUUAUGCGGGCGCAUGUAGACCAGAUGAUAAAAUUAUUUUUUGCACCGGGUGUAUGUAUAUAUCAUACGCCAUGUUAUUUAAAUCAAUAAAUUUUAUAUAUACAAUUUUUUUAGAAAAAAAAUUGUAUAAAGGACCCCCCUAACUUCAGCACGUCUGCAAAUAGACCCUUAAACUUUUACAUUAGGCAAUUAAAAAAUAACCUUUCUUCUCAAUUAAAAAAAGUAGUACUUUAACAUCGAACACAAAGUUGAAGCAGGUGCUCAUAAAUCAUACAAGCUUCCAAAUCGCUCUCCACGUCUGAUCUUCGAGUUUGUUAGUUUUUUCUAAAUAUCUGCACUCAUAGUUCGAUAGGACGAGGGACUUCUGCGUUGUUAUUAUUAAAAGGAUUAAUUUCAUAUAAAUUCUUGUAAAUAUAGUGAAUAAUAAAUAUAUUUCUACAAAGUUUAAUUUUUAUAUAUUGUUUUUGUAAAAGUUCUGAUAUUUUCAAAUAUGUCCCUACAGUUAGAAUUCGUUAGAAAAUUUUAAUUGACCAUAGGUUAAAUACUAACUCUGGUUAAUUUUUUGACAUUUUUAGCCAUUUAUAUUAUACUGUUAUGACUUUUGGAGGGAUAUAUUUGUGAUGAGAAAAUUAAAAAUAUAAAUAGUUUUCUAGCGGCUCUCUAAUGGUAAUAAAUCAGAGAGAUAUAUUUAAAAAUAUUAGAAUUUUUACAUGAACAAUAUAUGAAAGUUGAACUUUGUGAGGAUAUAUUUGUCAUUUAUUAUGUUUGUAAGGACCUGUAUGAAAUUAAUCUUUAUUAAAACUAUAAAAAACUAGUAAUAGAUAAACUUUUCCACACAAAUCAAGCGAUAUUUGACGCCAACAAAUAUAGUUUUGAGCAAAAAAAAAAAAAAAAAAAAAAAAGUCAGUAGAAAAAACUCCUUUCCUCCCAUAAUAUUUCCUCUAAUAAUUCCUAGAUUUGCAUAUGAUGGGAAUUUUCAAUUGUUUUAUUUAUUCUUAAUUUUAUUGUGAUAUUUCAUAUUUUAAUCUUGCCAUCUUGGUUUAAAUCUGGAUAUUUUCAAAAUAUAUUAGGGCUUACUUGGUCCUAUACUUUUGUUUUAGGUUAAAUAUUUUAGUAGGGCUUUGCAUAAAUUAUUUAAAAAAGUCUAAUCUGUUGUUGUGAUAGAAUUAGAAUUACAAUUGUGAGGUGGAAAAAUAAAAAUUAUCAUUUAGAACUUUUUAAUUCCGCUAUGAAGAAAAUGUAUCAAGAUUGAAUUAAUUUUAACAGCAUUCAAUAAUAAUUCCUUAUUUUAUAGUUUUACUAUCUUUAGCAAAACUAUUGACGGAAAAAAAAAAACUUUUAUUGCUCGAAAGUAAAGAAUUAUAAUAGUUAGGAGCCUUAGGCACAAUUUGGAUCAGGGAUAAGAGGAAGGAUAACCCCUUAUCCCCUUUUAUACUCAAACGCAAAUUUUUUAUCCCAGAAUAGUAGUUCUCGGGUAUCUGAAAUAAGCUGAUAUAACUAUUCUCACCAAUUCCUCCAUUUUCUAUCUAUAACUACCCACUAUUUUUCUUAUUCCAUAUUAUUUAUUCAAACGCUAUUUUUCUUAUCUCCGGAAACAACCCAAUUUUCAUCCAAACGUUAUUUUUCUUAUCCCCAUAUUUGUACUUAUUUUUCUUAAGCAUUUCGGCCACUUGAAAGUUGAAACAAGUCGAACUUGAACGAUCUAGACUUAAUCGUCUCUCACCUGAUAGUUGAAGCAGCCUAAAAAAUUCGAAAUCUCGGUCUAAUUCCACAAAAUGGCCGAAACCGCUAAAAAAGAAAUUGUUGAAACUGUUGCCGCCGAAACUACCGCCACUAAACCUACCGAAACUAUUACUACCGGAAACCACUGAAAUUGCUACUAGAAGCCGUCGAAACUAUUCUUACCUUCGAUUAGAAUACAAAAGCUACUACAAUUAUUCCUAAACCGCUUUAAAAUUGGCAAAUAUGUUGAUAUUUUUCAUAAGAAAGUUUCUUUCUUUGAUCGCCUAUCCAGUUUUUAUAGCCUUCACAAUUCAAAUCAGAAUCCAAUUGUUCUGAUAAAAUCAAAUCUCAUCUGAAAAUUGAAUUUUGAUAAUUCCAAGUUGAAUUCUAAAGCUUCGGAAUGAUUAUUGCUUACCCAAUGUCACCAUACAUCAUUGCUACAUUAUUAAAAUGUGCUUAACUGGUCUUGCUUUUGCGUGGUCUUCAAAAUUGAACAUUUCUUACAAAGCGUUUGAUAAAUAAAAUAAUCAGAAAUUUUGCAAGGACAGAAAAGGACAAACAAGAUUUUUGAAUUUCAAAAAUAGACAAACUUAUGUAGAGAUCAGUUAAACAAAUCACAUUAUGAAGUUUUUCCUUGUAGCACUAAUAAAAUAUUUUUAUAUUAAAUCAUAUUACACUAUAUAAUACUAAUAAUCUCUAACGCAAGUGUUUAAAAACUUAAUGAUUGGGAUAUGAGUUCCUAAGUUCAAAUAUUUGAGGCCCUAGGUUCGAAGUGUAGUUAUUUUACAUUGUCAGCUAAAUUCAUUUCCAAAAAAAGGUAUAGUUACUUUAUAUUUUUAGCUAAGUUCGUUUUUAAAAUAAUAAUGAAUGAAACAAACAGUAUAUUAUAUUUCUCUAAAAAAAAAAAUUUAAUCAAAACAUAAAAACUUUACACUCUAUAUUUUAUUAUUUCCUUCAAUAGCUACUACUUUUUUUGUAGAACUUAAAAUUUCAAAUUAAAGCUUCUAUAUUCGACCUCCAAAUUCUGAUCUAUUCUAAUUGCCAAACAUUUUAUUACAAACAACUAUAUAAUCAAGGUUAAAUGACAUUUUUGGUCCUCAAACUAAUAGAGGUUCUUAAUUUUAAUUUAUUACAAUUUCUCACUCGGACUUUCAAAAUUAUUGCAGUCAAGUUCCACAGCCUAAUUUAUUUGACUAAAUAUUAAUAUGACUCUAAUGCGAAAAUAAUAUAGCAGUAUUAUUAUUAUUAUGUAAUAUUAAGACACGAUAUUAUUUCCACACUAGCAAGACAUAAAUAAUUAUGGACUUAAUUGCAAUACUCUAUAAAAUUUAAACUAUAAAUUACAUUAAAUUAAAAUUUGACCACCAAGUAUGUAAAGAAAAAAAGCAUUGCUUUCCAGGGCCAAACCAAAUAUGGCCUGAAAGGGAUUUGUGGAUCUUUCUUUUUUGUCUCCCUCUCUAGAAGCUUCUUCUAGAUUUGUCUUUUCUCAUGGUCCCACCAUGGUGGUGACCAUGCACAGCCUCAAAAUUAUUGAGGAAGCACCACAGUGGAAAGAGAUAAUAAUUGCUUUAUAACUGAUUCCACCAACCCUUGCACCCCUUCAUAAAUUGGUCCCCAUUUAUGGACAAAAAUCUUAACCCUCCUUAGCCAUUAUGAUAAAGGAUAACUUACAACUCUAUUUUUUUUUUCUUUUUGGUAAAAAUAUAUAAAGAUUUAGUGAUGCUAUCUGUAUGUUUAUAAUAUUAGAUAAAAUAAAUUGUGGAAUGUAAAAUGCACAUCUUAUAAUAGAAUGUAUCGAUAGUAUUUUUAAGAUAUAAAACUAGAGCAAAUAUAUAUGAACAUAUUAAAAUUAUUGGAGAAACAAAUAUGAUCAUUUAAACUCUGCACAGAGAUAUUUAAAAUUU
rnacentral:lncRNA from 1 species